UACGAAGGGGGCUAGCGUUGCUCGGAAUCACUGGGCGUAAAGGGCGCGUAGGCGGCCCGCACAAGUCUGCGGUGAAAACCCCCGGCUUAACCGGGGGCCGGCCGUGGAAACUGUCGGGCUGGAGGCUGGGAGAGGGCAGCGGAAUUCCCGGUGUAGCGGUGAAAUGCGUAGAGAUCGGGAGGAACACCGGCGGCGAAGGCGGCUGCCUGGACCAGUCCUGACGCUGAGGCGCGAAAGCCAGGGGAGCAAACGGG
rnacentral:rRNA from 1 species